rnacentral:rRNA from 1 species
CAUACCUAUUCGAAGGGAUAGGGUCGGUUUGGCCGGAUUUCACACAGGUGUUGCAUGGCUGUCGUCAGCUCGUGUCGUGAGAUGUUGGGUUAAGUCCCGCAACGAGCGCAACCCUCAUCCUUAGUUACCAUCAGGUUAUGCUGGGGACUUUAAGGAAACUGCCAGUGAUAAACUGGAGGAAGGUGGGGAUGAUGUCAAGUCAUCAUGGCCCUUAUGGAGUGGGCUACACACGUGCUACAAUGGUGAUUACAAUGGGCUGCAAGGUCGCAAGGCUGAGCUAAUCCUAAAAAAUCAUCUCAGUUCGGAUUGUUCUCUGCAACUCGAGAGCAUGAAGUUGGAAUCGCUAGUAAUCGUGGAUCAGCACGCCACGGUGAAUACGUUCUCGGGUCUUGUACACACUGCCCGUCACGCCAUGGGAAUUGGUUUCACUCGAAGCU